rnacentral:rRNA from 1 species
CUACGUAGGUGACAAGCGUUAUCCGGAUUUACUGGGCGUAAAGGGCGUGUAGGCGGUCUUGCAAGUCAGAAGUGAAAUUCCUGAGCUCAACUCGGGCGCUGCUUCUGAAACUGCAGGACUUGAGUGCUGGAGGGGAUAGCGGAAUUCCUAGUGGAGCGGUAAAAUGCGCAGAUAUUAGGAAGAACACCGGUGGCGAAGGCGGCUAUCUGGACAGUAACUGACGCUGAGGCGCGAAAGCGUGGGGAGCAAACAGGAUUAGAUCCCCUGGUAGUCCACGCCGUAAACGAUGAAUACUAGGUGUAGGGGGUAUCGACUCCCUCUGUGCCGCAGUUAACACAAUAAGUAUUCCGCCUGGGGAGUACGGCCGCAAGGUUGAAACUUAAAGGAAUUGACGGGU